GGUCCUCUGCCCAGCCCCAUUCAGAAAUGGCAGAGCCCUGUUUCUGCAGGGGAGGGGCAUGUGGGCACAGAAACCUUCAGGGAAGUGGAACAUGGUUCCUGAGAACUCAGUGGGCCCAGAGCACAACUAGUGCUGUGACAAGGUCUGUUGGGCUAGAUGCCUGGCUAACAGUGCAGAGCACCCUGGAUGGGUCUGAAGGCAGAGAUGAUGUCUGGAAGGCCCAGUUUCCUCUGUGGUAGGUGUUCAGUUAUGGACCACUGUGUUUGUUACAGAAGGCAGGGAAGUGAGCCUAGGUGGCCUGACUCUGGCAGGAAAUGGAGCUCUCAGCCAGAAGUCUCACUGUGCACCUCCACAUGCUGUUUGUUUCAACUUGAUCCAAUUGUUCAGCAUGAGAAAACAUCCCGUAGGGUGUGUUGGGGGGGGGGGUAGUGGAAUCCUGCAGGAUAUUGUUCUCUGAGUCCCACCCGUUGAGCAGCAACAAUGGUAUACUGUCCUUUUUUCUGCUGAACAUUGCUAUCAGGUUUCAGUUUGGUCCUUUUGUUUUCUAGGGUAGAGUUAAAAACAACCCUGGUGCGCACACACCGUGGCACAAAUCAGAAGCAACACAGCACCUUUCAUCCGUCGCCCAAUGUCGUGAUUCCACGAUAUCAUGAAAACCUCACGUUUGUCCUUGCUCCUGACCUACAGCUCCUGAGGGCCCUAGAAUCUCCCAAGUGGAGGUUGGAUCUUUUUGCGUACAGACUUUCCCUGAGCUCCUCCUCAGUCACUGCAAGGUCUUUGCUUGGCUCACCCAGAAGACACCCAAUUGUCUACAAUGCUGGACCUCUGUGGGAGCUUGCCUGCAGUUUCCCAUGUACGUCUCUUCCAGACAGCACAUCAAAACAUCUCCUCCUGUCUUAAGAAGAUAUCAGAGUCCUCUACGGCCUGACAAGACCUGUGGAAAGUUGAGCUCCGUCGCAGAAGGUCUGAGCCUGGUUCACACUGAGCUUGGAAGGUGGCAAGCCAGCCAGAGGUCAGAUGCGCACACUUGACUAAGGAUGUCAUCCUUAUACAGUAAUGGCCACAACCUCUGGGAUAGGCUGCUCACAGAGAAUGCUAAGGGUCCUGAAGAUUGUUUGAGAACACAACUGGUGGCUCACACUCACAUUAGGGGGAGCAGAAACUUGUACCAAUUAUAUUAUUAUUAUUA